UCCUCAUGUGCAUUCUUUGUGCAAACAAAGGAGGAGCACAAGAAGAAGCACCCGGAUGCUUCUGUCCACUUCUCAGAGUUCUCCAAGAAGUGCUCAGAAAGGUGAAAUGCCUGGAAACCGGAAAAGAAACCCUGCGCACAAGAACAAAAUGUCUGCAGUCGAGGAACCUGGGCUUGGAAUCAUGAUGGAGCAAUUGAACUAUUUUCAAUAACAUAGAGCCCCAAGGGAAAG
rnacentral:lncRNA from 1 species